CUUUACCUUGUUUGGAAGUCUCAACAGGUGAUGGCGCUGUAGCAGUUCCUCUGGUAAACCCGGACUGGUUCUCUGUGUCUGCCUAUUUCUGUUGCAAAUCAAAGGACCAGUGUGUGUCGGCGUGGCCUGGAGACAUUUAACAUCAAAAGAUGCUAGAGUAGAAAAACUUACUUGGAGACUGGGGACAUGUCUUGAGAGAAUGGGAGAACGGUUCAUUUCAGGAUCUAAGUGCAGAAUUGAAUAGUCAUGCCCAGCCACAGAGGCAAAAGCAGAGUUACACUGUGUCCUGGGAAGAGAGGGAGGAGAACAAGGCAGCAGGAUCAUCUCAUUCUCACAGAAGAAUAGAAUCCCUACCUCAUGGGACCCAUCACACACAGAAGAGAUAACAGCUAAAGGAACUGGAACAGCAUCGAGAGACACAGACACAUUACAUUCUCAACCAGAGGAAGAGGAUGGGUAGGAAUAUCAUCAGGACUUGGAUACUUACCCUUCCUUCCUCCAUCACUGCCACACCACCCUGGCUGAGAUGGCAUAGCAUGCUGCCCUUGGCAAAAGACGAUCAUCUCUUUCAACUGAAUCUUAGUGGAGAAAGGUUCAAGGAGGUGGUAGGAGGAGGGACAAUGAGGAAAAAAGUGUCAGAGGGAAAUGCAGUGAGGGUUUGGACUAGAGUACUUUCUAUGGAGCUCAGCAUGUGCUCUGGGUCAUUGCUAACAGAACUAACCUAAUGGCUUCUGUUUGCUCCCUCAGUCCCUGUGAUGCAAAGAUAGCAUUGUAGAUGAUUAGUGACCUAGCCAGAAAGACCUACCUGUGCAGUAAGUAGACUAUUGGAGAAAAUGAGAAAAAACAGUUGGCUGUCUCUGUUUGAGACAUCCUCCACCAGCUCUCCCUCCAACAUCUGGGUGGAGGGGAAGGGAUUUCUCUCUUUUCUUCCUACCCUCAACUUCUGUAGCAAUGACAGCAAGAAAAAGUGUUUGGCUAGGGGAGGCUGAGAGUAGACCUCAGCUCUCUAGUUGCCUCUUCUACUUUGUGUUUCUUUCUUAGAGCACAGAUCAUCAAACAAUGAUCCUGAAAAAUGUAUAGUGUUGGCUAUCUGAAAGCUCCUGAGUUCCUGAGUCAGUCCUAGAGGUACUUCCUGCAACUAAAUCUCUUCUUGGAAUGAAAGCCAACCAAUAAUUGGAUCCUUCCAAACCUGAAUGGGCUAAAGAGCCAUUUCUGGCUGGCCAGGAGAUAUAGACCUCAUAAAGGAAGGAUAUAUGCAUUUAUUAAACACCUACUACGUGCUAGGUAAGGGCUAGGUGGUACAGUGGA